CAGCAGCGCUUCGUUAACUACACAAGGGAUGCCCUACAGGGCCUAGCAGAACAAUUACAAGCCACUACUCAAAUGACAUUUCAGAACAGAAUGGCCCUAGAUAUGAUUUUAGCUGAGAAAGGGGGAGUAUGUAAGAUCCUCCCUGAGACUAUGACAUGCUGCACAUACAUUCCAGACAACACUGGGCCCAAUGGUAAGGUGACUACGGCCAUAGAAAAGCUAGAUAGUCUUUCUGAUGAACUAAAGAAAAAUUCAGGAGUCACUGACACUUGGGACAGAUGGUUUGGGUGGAUGAAUGGUUGGCAAAGGACCCUCUUCCAGGUAGGGACAGCUGUUCUUAUAAUGAUUAUCAUCUUCUUAUUUUUAACCUGUUGCGUGCUCCCUUGCAUACAGAAGUACUUACAGAAAGCGGUAGAUAAGACUAUAGAUGACGUGACCCCUACUUUCCUACAUCAAGACAUCACAGACCUCGAAGAUGACACUCCACAUACACCCCUUCAAUCACAUCAGUUCAAACAGACAACUGCUUUCCUGUAGGGACAGUGUAGGGAAAGCGUCUGUCUUAGCAGGCGAGUAUCACGUGUGGAGAUGUGGUGGACUAGCCACUGCGGGUUACCCACGGAGUGAAGUGUUCGAUGCUUGUUAAGACAGAUGAGCUGCAGGCAGCUAGGGACUUAUUAGGGACAGUAGCACUUGUUAUGGUAAAUAGCCAUUUUAGGGGGGACUAUUGUGGAAAUAAG
rnacentral:lncRNA from 1 species